UAGUAUGGAUUAGAGGUCUUUCUGAUUUCAAAUAUAUUGUCUUUCACCAUAUUGCAAAGAAGCUCAGGGAAGAUGUCUUCUAAGGUUUCUCUUUUCCUUCAUCCACUCCAAUGGAGAAUUGCAAUGUCCGUGUGACUUGGAUAGGGGUCCAGACUGUGUAAUUCCUAAUGAAUCAUCAUUCUAUCCCUGUUUGGAAACUUGGACCACUGAGAGAGUCAGAGUGAAGCCUGAGAGAUGGAAUGACAAAUGUCACAGGUAACAAUCCUAGCCCUGCCCUAACCAAAUUCCAACCUUUUUAGAUAGUAUAGCACUAUUUGUGUAGUUCUAAGAAAGCUGAAAAUGUUCCUUCUCUAACAGUACCAGGUGAAAGAUUUCAUGCUUUAUUAAACACAUUUAUAAAGCAUUUUGAGAUGAUAGAAAUCUUAAAUCAGCACUUAUUCAGCUUUUAACUUCCAGUAGUAUAGCUCCAAAAUUUCUUAAAAAUGACCUUGAUUUUUUCUUUUCUCUUUUUGGUGCUAAAAUCACUGAAGAUAACCACCCUUAAGGAAAAGUUAAAUGAUCGCUUUCCCUGUUAAAUUGGGACAGAAUUAAUUUCCUGCCUGUAGCCUUGAGCAAAAGGGCAAGUCAAGUGUCAGCCUGACCGUGUUUCUCUUGCUAUUUUCAGCACAAUUGGCAAGAGGGGUAAACAAAAACCUAGCAGCUACAAAAAGCUUCUCAAGGAGAAUCUUCUACACUCAGAACUCUGUUGGUAUUUAUUCUCUGCUCUCAUCAGUCAACUA
rnacentral:lncRNA from 1 species